rnacentral:rRNA from 1 species
UACAGAGGUCUCAAGCGUUGUUCGGAUUCAUUGGGCGUAAAGGGUGCGUAGGCGGCGCGGUAAGUCGGGUGUGAAAUCUUGGAGCUUAACUCCGAAACUGCAUUCGAUACUGCCGUGCUUGAGGACUGGAGAGGAGACUGGAAUUUACGGUGUAGCGGUGAAAUGCGUAGAUAUCGUAAGGAGGACCAGUGGCGAAGGCGGGUCUCUGGACAGUUCCUGACGCUGAGGCACGAAGGCCAGGGGAGCAAACGGG